UUCUACCUCGCAAUGGGGUCGAAGAAACCUACUCUUUGAAGAAGACAUGGCCGAUAAGGCUAUGAGAACCAACAAAUUUAAAUAUUAACUACAAGGAUUUUUUUUUUUUCUUGCGUAGGAAUCUUCAGAUCUGGGUGGGAUGCCCACUGACAUGCUCUUACUCUAGGGACAAACCACAAAUCAAAAGAAGGGAAAAAAGGAGAAAAGAAAAAAAGAAAAAAGGGCACUUUUACUUGCAAGUGCAACUUUAUCAGUCCAAUCAACCAUCACUGAUUCUCCACCCAAUUGGUCAUUAUCUGUCCAUCUUUUUUCUACUACUUGGGUCACAACUCAGCUCCCUUUCUUCUCAUCUUCCUCUUCCUUCUCAGAUUCAGCUGCAGAUAUGGAUUGUCCAGGUCCAAGAUUGUUCCCGUUGCAUCGCUGCAAAACUCUUCACCUGGGUGUCCACCAUUGCCUUCUUUCUUGGGUUUUGCCCGCAAAUCAAGGCAUUCUGGUCUUAUAAAACCAUGCAUCCAGGUGAGGCAUGCACAAGGGAUGCACAAUGUAGAGGGAGAUAAGAAUUACAAAGCUUACUUGUCUCCCCAAUAUUUUGAUGCACGACUUACUCAACUUGGUUGGCAGCAGGUAAGACAAACUGCUAAAUGCUUAACCCAAAAAAAGAGGAAAAAUAGUUCUAGAAAUGCUGCUAAUGCUGUUCAGGAGAAGCACGGCGGUAAUAUGAUAAAAAUAAACAUUCAAGCCCAUAUCAAGAGAAUUAAUAUAAAGGAUGCUAAGAUCUAUAAAAAAAAAAUUCAAAAAGAUAAUAUCUUAACACCCUAAAUCCAUCAAGACCCAUUCAACUUGACUGAAGGAAGAACAAUUGUUACCGCCUAACUCUAAAGGAAAGAAUCUGAUUAGCAUGUUGGUAAAAAUAACCUAACUGAGUAGAAACUCUCAAAAUUCUUGAAGGCUAUAUGAAUCUUAUUGAGGCGGAGGAGAGGAAAGAACUCAACUUACUAGCUCCAACUUUCAUAUCAAAGAGAGGAAAGAACUCAAUUUAUUAGUUUCAAU